CCCUGCCUCACAUCCGUUUGUGGUUUGUAAAGAGAGAGAGGAGAGGAAAAAAAAAAAAAUCUCUUCCAAAAAAGCACCGGUCUGCAGAUGUCUGCGAGAGAACCCACGAACCCUCCUUCUUCUACGGCAGGGCAGAUGUCUUUUGCUGCAGAUUUUUUUUGUUUUCGUUUAUAUUCACAAGGUUUCUGUGAAGAGAGGGAUGUUUCUUAAAUCUCCAGGCAAGCAGUUGGCAGGAGUACCAGUUGAAGGGAAUGGAUAGUCUGUGUUGGCUGUUUGUCUUUAAAAAUGGGCUCUUCAGUAGCAUGUGUAAGUAUAACAGAGUUAAAUAUAUAUAUUUAUCAGAUGCUAUGAAACAUGUGGAGGG
rnacentral:lncRNA from 1 species